UCUAGCCUGCCCAAUGAGGAUUUGAAUGGCCGCAGUAUCUUGACUGUGCAAAGGUAGCAKAAUCAUUAGUUUUUUAAUUGAAAGCUGGAAUGAAAGGUUGGACAAGAAAAUAGCUGUCUCUUUAUAAAUUAAUUAGAAUUUUAUUUUUAAGUUAAAAAGCUUAAAUAUAUUUAAAAGACGAGAAGACCCUAUAGAGUUUUAUAAAUUUAAUAGUAAAUUUUUUUUAGUAAUUGUAUAAAUAGAUUAUUUAAUUUAUUUUAUUGGGGUGAUAGAAAAAUUUUAUAAACUUUUUUUUAAAAUUUGACAUAUAUAAAUGGUUUAUUGAUCCUUAUAUUAAGAUUAAAAGAUUAAAUUACCUUAGGGAUAACAGCGUAAUUUUUUUUAAGAGUUCUAAUCGAUAAAAAAGUUUGCGACCUCGAUGUUGGAUUAAAAUUAAAUUUUGGUGUAGAAGCU
rnacentral:rRNA from 1 species